UGUCCCUGACCUGAGUAGAGUGGCAUCUGGUUGGUGGUGCCCAUCUCAUAUCACCAGGGACAAAGUAACCCCUUGUUCAUCCCAGCUUGGCUUCUCAUCUGUGCCUACGCCUGGUUCAUGCCUUGGACACAUUA
rnacentral:snoRNA from 8 species